rnacentral:snRNA from 1 species
GGAUGUGAGGGUGAUCUGGCUGUGACAUCUGUCACCCCAUGGAUCGCCAGGGUUGAUUUGGCUGAUCUGGCUGGCUAGGUGGUGUCCCCUUCCUUCCUCACCACUCCACAUGCGUCCCUUCCGAAGCUGCAUGCUCGGUGGAAGAGGAUGACCUUCCCCGUUAGGGGAGGACUGCUCUUCAGUCAAGGGUGUACGGGUAGCUGCACUCCCCUGCUAGAACCUCCAAACAAACUCUCAAGUCACAGGGAGCUGGGGCUGGAGGCAGGCCCAGU